rnacentral:rRNA from 1 species
UACAGAGGGGGCAAGCGUUAUUCGGAAUUAUUGGGCGUAAAGGGCGCGUAGGCGGCGAUUCAAGUGACGGGUGAAAUCCCUCGGCUUAACCUGGGAACUGCAUUGGUGACUGGCAGGCUUUGAGUGUGGCAGAGGGAGGUAGAAUUCCACGUGUAGCAGUGAAAUGCGUAGAGAUGUGGAGGAAUACCGAUGGCGAAGGCAGCCUCCUGGGCCAACACUGACGCUCAUGCACGAAAGCGUGGGGAGCAAACAGG